rnacentral:rRNA from 1 species
UACGGAGGAUCCAAGCGUUAUCCGGAUUUAUUGGGUUUAAAGGGUGCGUAGGCGGAUUGAUAAGUUAGAGGUGAAAUGUCCGAGCUCAACUCGGGAACUGCCUCUAAUACUGUUGAUCUAGAGAGUAGAUGCGGUAGGCGGAAUGUAUGGUGUAGCGGUGAAAUGCUUAGAGAUCAUACAGAACACCGAUUGCGAAGGCAGCUUACCAAUCUAUAUCUGACGUUGAGGCACGAAAGCGUGGGGAGCAAACAGG